ensembl:snRNA U6 U6 spliceosomal RNA
GCUUGUUUCAGCAGCACAAAUUAAAGCUGGAAUCAUAAAGAGAAAAUUAACAUGUUCUGUAUGCCAGAAUGAUAUACACAUUUAUGAGGUGUUUGAUUUUUUU